rnacentral:tRNA from 1 species
AAAGGGAGACCUAAUUCAGGCAGGAGACGAAAAAAAGUAGUCCCUACCAAGAAUCAAUCCCAAAAGGUCGGAGCGAGCCAAAAUUGGCUUUCAAACUAGGUUCUGGGUUCACAUAAGACCUGAAUCAGGAACAAGGGCUAUUAGCUCAGGUGGUUAGAGCGCACCCCUGAUAAGGGUGAGGUCCCUGGUUCGAGUCCAGGAUGGCCCACCUGCACAGGUGGCAAAAACAAAGAAAAGAAGCUCCGAAUCAGCACCUUAUCUUACUCAUAUAGUAAGAGAGAAUGCUGGCUCUGAGUUCAGAGUCCAGAGGAACCUUGAAAACUGCAUAGAGCUAGGUGAAAAAGCCAAAAAAGAAGACCGCAAG